GCAAGUCGAGCGAGAAAGCCUUCGGGUGAGUACAGCGGCGGACGGGUGAGUAACACGUGGGAAUCUACCGAGUAGUGGGGGACAACAGUUGGAAACGGCUGCUAAUACCGCAUACGUCCUUUUCGCAAGAGAGGGAGAAAGGGGGGGAUUCGUUCUUUUCGGAGAAUGGACCUCUUGCUAUUUGAUGAGCCUGCGUUAGAUUAGCUUGAUGGUGGGGUAAAGGCCUACCAUGGCGACGAUCUAUAGCUGGUCUGAGAGGAUGAUC
rnacentral:rRNA from 1 species